rnacentral:lncRNA from 1 species
UGAUGUUGAUGUUAGUUGAUCAUGGGGUGUUGGUGAGCUCGAGAAAGUUAUUACUUCAUCGUAAUCCUUGUAAUUUUUUGUCUAAUUCUUUGUUUAAUUUUCCGAGUUUAUAAAUCCCUAGUUUCUUAAUGGGAGAAUUUUAAUAUCAUUUUAGCAAAAAAAUUAUCCAUUCUUGAGGGUAAAUGAUCCCGAAGCGUAGAGGGACCUAUUGACGGUUUCAAAAUUGAGAAUUCACAAG